rnacentral:misc_RNA from 1 species
UGUUUCUCCAUUUGAGUGGUAAGUCACUACUAAUGUUCCUUAUAUCACUUCUUUUAGUGUUGGAGGCACUCUUGGUAGCUCUACCUCCUGUGCUACUGGAGCUGUAGUUAUGCUAGCCACUUUAAGUGGUCCUGUGAGUGGGAGAAAACCUGUUAAACAUGGCCAAAUGGCUAAUGCAGUUUCUGUCCCUGAAACUUCCCCAUCAUAUGUACAUUGAUAAAAUCUUCAAUUUGGCUUUGGCCAAUGAUUGAAAUUAUACAAUCUUCAGUUUGGCCUCAACAGAAAUCCGUUGUGGCUUAACUGAUGAAAAUUUCUGUUGUGGUAUAACAUCCGUUGUGGCCGUUGUGGCAAUUUCUCGUCCAGUUUAUUGUUCAUGAGUUUCUGAUGGAUUAUACCAUCUAAUGCGAA